CCGCAGCCAGGGCGGCCUCACGGAAGGCCUGGACACUGAUAAGCCGGCAAGUGCAGUGCUUCGCAAAACACCGGCCGCC
rnacentral:ncRNA from 1 species